rnacentral:rRNA from 1 species
UACGAGGGAUGCAAGCGUUAUCCGGAAUUAUUGGGCGUAAAGCGUUUGUAGGCGGGCGAGUGUGUUUAAUGUUAAAUCUUAAAGCUCAACUUUGAAAUUGCGUUAAAAACUGCUUGUCUUGAGUAUGGUAGGGGUAAAGGGAAUUCCCAGUGUAGCGGUGAAAUGCGUAGAUAUUGGGAAGAACACUAAACAGCGAAGGCACUUUGCUAGGCUAAUACUGACGCUGAGAAACGAAAGGUAAGGUAGCGAAACGGAUUAGAUACCCGUGUAGUCUUACCCGUAAACUAUGGACACUAAACGGUAAAUUUUUAAUUUACUGUUAAAGCUAACGCGUUAAGUGUCCCGCCUGGGGAGUAUGCUUGCAAAAGUGAAACUCAAAGGAAUUGACGGGGGCCCGCACAAGCGGUGGAGCAUGUGGUUUAAUUCGACGGUACACGAAGAACCUUACCAGGAUUUGACAUGCUAGAUAGUUGCUUGAAAGAGUAACGUGCCGUAAGGAAUCUAGACACAGGUGGUGCAUGGCUGUCGUCAGUUCGUGUUGUGAAAUGUUGGGUUAAGUCCCGCAACGAACGCAACCCUUGUCUUUAGUUAUUUUCUAAAGAGACUGCCUGUAAUAAACAGGAGGAAGGUAAGGAUGAGGUCAAGUCAUCAUGCCCCUUAUGUCCUGGGCUACACACGUGCUACAAUGGGAAAGACAAUGAGCUGCAAAUCUGUAAAUUUAAGCAAAUCUCUUAAACUUUCUCGUAGUUCGGAUUGUGGGCUGCAACUCGCCCACAUGAAGUUGGAAUCGCUAGUAAUCGCCAGUCAGCUAUAUGGCGGUGAAUCCGUUCCCGGGCCU